UUAUGGCCAUAUCACAUUGAAACACUGGUUCUUGUCUGAUCACCUAAGUUAAGCAACAUUGAAUGUGGUCAGUACCGACAUGGGUGACCACUUGGGAAUACCAGGUGCUGUAAG